ensembl:snRNA U6 U6 spliceosomal RNA
AUGCUCGCAUCAUAUAGCAGCACAUACACUAACAGUAGAACAGUACAGAGAAGAUUAGCAUGGCCCCUAAGCAAUGAUGACAUGCAAAUUCAUGAAGUUAUCCAUAGGAAA